rnacentral:lncRNA from 1 species
GAUUUUAAACUGUGGAGCACGUCAAGAGAAAGCUCACUGAUCUGCCGAGGGUUUGUGCUUUUCUGUCUUCAUGCAUCUGUUGUGGGUGAAGAGAGCAAAGAUUCUUCAUUCAAUCAAAGGCCCCCUUUGGAGAUGCUGAGAAGGAAAUUUCCUUUGGAAAUUCCCAAAGGAAUUGGGCUGUCUCUCUCUCUUUCUCUGGUUGCAUUUCACCAGCUAAGGAGUUGCAUUGGCUUCUGCUCUCCUCUCUUGCUCACCUACAUUGUGAGCCUCUGUUCAGAUGUCACAUUCUGCAUACAAUGGCACCUCCUAACAGAAGAAAUGAUGGCAUGGGCAUGCAAUCUGCAAAAUCCAUACCACAGGAUAUUCUAGGGGACAAAUGACCUGGCCAUUUCAACAAAAACCUGCAAGAAACAAAAACGAAGAAAGGAAAUGGGCACUGCCCACAUGAGUAGUAUUCCACUGUAUUCCACAUGAGGCUCUUAUGACCGACUUCAGCAGAAGGUCAGAGGAUUCUAUGAUGUUUGAUGGUGUGCUUCAGGGGAGAAGGGUUGGGGUCAAAGAGACCUUCCCGCUUCUGCUGGUUUUCUCAGAUGCCAAGAUGCUCUAUUUUGGGGUAACAUGUCCUAAACCCUAUCACCUGCCUAAUGUUACUUAUUAGCUCUCAUUUCCCCUGACACUUUCCCUUUUUGUUUUCUUGAGUAGAAGCUUCAUAAAGGCAAGACCUUCAUCUUACUCACAGCAGUUGAUUCUAUCACCUUGUAUGGCCCCUGACACAUAGAAGGUGCUCAAUAAAUUUUGUUGAAUGGA